rnacentral:rRNA from 1 species
AGUGGCGGACGGGUGAGUAACGCGUGGGUAACCUGCCUCAUACAGGGGGAUAACAGUUAGAAAUGACUGCUAAUACCGCAUAAGCGCACAGUACCGCAUGGUACGGUGUGAAAAACUCCGGUGGUAUGAGAUGGACCCGCGUCUGAUUAGCUAGUUGGUGAGGUAAUGGCUCACCAAGGCAACGAUCAGUAGCCGGCUUGAGAGAGUGAACGGCCACAUUGGGACUGAGACACGGCCCAAACUCCUACGGGAGGCAGCAGUGGGGAAUAUUGCACAAUGGGGGAAACCCUGAUGCAGCGACGCCGCGUGAGUGAAGAAGUAUUUCGGUAUGUAAAGCUCUAUCAGCAGGGAAGAUAAUGACGGUACCUGACUAAGAAGCCCCGGCUAACUACGUGCCAGCAGCCGCGGUAAUACGUAGGGGGCAAGCGUUAUCCGGAUUUACUGGGUGUAAAGGGAGCGUAGGCGGUCCGAUAAGUCUGGUGUGAAAGCCCGGGGCUCAACUCCGGGACUGCAUUGGAAACUAUCGGACUUGAGUGUCGGAGAGGUAAGUGGAAUUCCUAGUGUAGCGGUGAAAUGCGUAGAUAUUAGGAGGAACACCAGUGGCGAAGGCGACUUACUGGACGAUAACUGACGCUGAGGCUCGAAAGCGUGGGGAGCGAACAGGAUUAGAUACCCUGGUAGUCCACGCC